rnacentral:rRNA from 1 species
ACGGGUGAGGAAUACAUCGGAAUCUACUCUGUCGCGGGGGAUAACGUAGGGAAACUUACGCUAAUACCGCAUACGACCUACGGGUGAAAGCAGGGGAUCUUCGGACCUUGCGCGAUUGAAUGAGCCGAUGUCGGAUUAGCUAGUUGGCGGGGUAAAGGCCCACCAAGGCGACGAUCCGUAGCUGGUCUGAGAGGAUGAUCAGCCACACUGGAACUGAGACACGGUCCAGACUCCUACGGGAGGCAGCAGUGGGGAAUAUUGGACAAUGGGCGCAAGCCUGAUCCAGCCAUACCGCGUGGGUGAAGAAGGCCUUCGGGUUGUAAAGCCCUUUUGUUGGGAAAGAAAUCCAGCUGGCUAAUACCCGGUUGGGAUGACGGUACCCAAAGAAUAAGCACCGGCUAACUUCGUGCCAGCAGCCGCGGUAAUACGAAGGGUGCAAGCGUUACUCGGAAUUACUGGGCGUAAAGCGUGCGUAGGUGGUCGUUUAAGUCCGUUGUGAAAGCCCUGGGCUCAACCUGGGAACUGCAGUGGAUACUGGGCGACUAGAGUGUGGUAGAGGGUAGCGGUAUUCCUGGUGUAGC